rnacentral:rRNA from 1 species
GAGUUUGAUCUUGGCUCAGAGCAAACGCUGGCGGCGUGCCUAAUACAUGCAAGUCGAACGGGGAAAGUAGCAAUACGAGUACUAGUGGCGCACGGGUGAGUAACACGUAGGUAAUCUGCCCUCGAGUGGGGAACAACUCGUCGAAAGAUGAGCUAAUACCGCAUAAGACCACAAGAACUGAGGUUCAAGAGGUCAAAGGAGCAAUUCGCUUGAGGAUGAGCCUGCGUCGGAUUAGCUAGUUGGUAGGUAACGGCCUACCAAGGCGAUGAUCCGUAGCUGGUCUGAGAGGAUGAUCAGCCACACUGGAACUGAGACACGGUCCAGACUCCUACGGGAGGCAGCAGUAGGGAAUAUUGCGCAAUGGGGGAAACCCUGACGCAGCGACGCCGCGUGAGUGAUGAAGGCC